rnacentral:tRNA from 1 species
GGUAAAGUGGCCGAGUAGGCGGUGGAUUGUAGCCCCAAGGACAGAGGUGUGAACCCUCUCUUUACCA